AUUGAACGCUGGCGGCAUGCCUUACACAUGCAAGUCGAACGGCAGCACGGGGCAACCUGGUGGCGAGUGGCGAACGGGUGAGUAAUGCAUCGGAACGUACCUUUCAGUGGGGGAUAACGUAGCGAAAGUUACGCUAAUACCGCAUAUUCUGUGAGCAGGAAAGCAGGGGAUCGCAAGACCUUGCGCUGAUUGAGCGGCCGAUGUCAGAUUAGCUAGUUGGUGAGGUAAAGGCUCACCAAGGCGACGAUCUGUAGCGGGUCUGAGAGGAUGAUUCGCCACACUGGAACUGAGACACGGUCCAGACUCCUACGGGAGGCAGCAGUGGGGAAUUUUGGACAAUGGGGGCAACCCUGAUCCAGCCAUGCCGCGUGAGUGAAGAAGGCCUUCGGGUGGUAAAGCUCUUUCGGCCGGGAAGAAAUCGCAUAGGCUAAUACCCUGUGUGGAUGACGGUACCGGAAUAAGAAGCACCGGCUAACUACGUGCCAGCCGCCGCCGUAAAAC
rnacentral:rRNA from 1 species